UCGAGAAUAUUCGACAAUGGGCGAAAGCCUGAUCGAGCGACGCCGCGUGCAGGAUGAAGGCCCUCGGGUUGUAAACUGCGGUAGUAGGGGAGGAACGCAAGUGACUGUACCCUACGGAAAGUGGUUGGUAACUACGUGCCAGCACCAGCGGUAAUACGUAGACCACAAGCGUUAUCCGGAUUUAUUGGGCGUAAAGAGCAUGUAGGAGGUCCGGUGCGUCUCUGGUUAAAGCCCACCGCCUAACGGUGGAAGUGCCAGAGAUACGAUCGGACUGGAGGAUGUGAGAGGUGCAUGGAACUCACGGUGUAGGGGUGAAAUCCGUUGAUAUCGUGGGGAACACCAGUGGCGAAGGCGACCACCUGGACUAAUACUGACACUGAGGUGCGAAAGCGUGGGGAGCAAACAGGAUUAGAUACCCCCGUAGUCCCUGAGCGGGCUGGCAAGGCGCAU
rnacentral:rRNA from 1 species